rnacentral:rRNA from 1 species
AUACGGAGGAUCCGAGCGUUAUCCGGAUUUAUUGGAUUUAAAGGGUGCGCAGGCGGCCAUUUAAGUCAGCGGUUCAAUCGUGGGGCUCAACCCCACUCUGCCGUUGAUACUGGGUGGCUUGAUUGCGGUCGAGGUUGGCGGAAUUCGUUGUGUAGCGGUGAAAUGCAUAGAUAUGACGAAGAACACCGAUUGCGUAGGCAGCUGACCAGACCGCAAAUGACGCUCAUGCACGAAAGUGCGGAGAUCGAACAGGAUUAGAUACCCUGGUAGUCCGCACAGUAAACGAUGAAUACUUGUUUUCGGCGAUAUAAUGUCGGAGGCAAAGCGAAAGCGAUAAGUAUUCCACCUGGGGAGUACGCCGGCAACGGUGAAACUCAAAUGAAUUGACGGGG